rnacentral:rRNA from 1 species
AACGAACGCUGGCGGCAGGCUUAACACAUGCAAGUCGAACGCACCUUUCGGGGUGAGUGGCAGACGGGUGAGUAACGCGUGGGAAUCUACCCUUCUCUACGGGAUAGCUCCGGGAAACUGGAAUUAAUACCGUAUACGUCCUGAGGGAGAAAGAUUUAUCGGGGAAGGAUGAGCCCGCGUUGGAUUAGCUAGUUGGUGGGGUAAAGGCCUACCAAGGCGACGAUCCAUAGCUGGUCUAAGAGGAUGAUCAGCCACAUUGGGACUGAGACACGGCCCAAACUCCUACGGGAGGCAGCAGUGGGGAAUAUUGGACAGUGGGCGCAAGCCUGAUCCAGCCAUGCCGCGUGAGUGAUGAAGGCCCUAGGGUUGUAAAGCUCUUUCAGUGGGGACGAUAAUGACGGUACCCACAGAAGAAGCCCCGGCUAACUUCGUG